AGUGAACGCUGGCGGUAGGCCUAACACAUGCAAGUCGAACGGCAGCACAGUAGAGCUUGCUCUUACGGGUGGCGAGUGGCGGACGGGUGAGGAAUACAUCGGAAUCUACUUUUUCGUGGGGGAUAACGUAGGGAAACUUAUGCUAAUACCGCAUACGACCUACGGGUGAAAGCAGGGGAUCUUCGGACCUUGCGCGAUUGAAUGAGCCGAUGUCGGAUUAGCUAGUUGGCGGGGUAAAGGCCCACCAAGGCGACGAUCCGUAGCUGGUCUGAGAGGAUGAUCAGCCACACUGGAACUGAGACACGGUCCAGACUCCUACGGGAGGCAGCAGUGGGGAAUAUUGGGCAAUGGGCGCAAGCCUGAUCCAGCCAUACCGCGUGGGUGAAGAAGGCCUUCGGGUUGUAAAGCCCUUUUGUUGGGAAAGAAAAGCAGCAGGUUAAUACCCCGCUGUUCUGACGGUACCCAAAGAAUAAGCACCGGCUAACUUCGUG
rnacentral:rRNA from 1 species